GACGGAGGGUGCAAGCGUCGCUCGGAAUCACUGGGCGUAAAGCGCACGUAGGCGGACUCUUAAGUCGGUGGUGAAAUCCUGGAGCUCAACUCCAGAACUGCCUUCGAUACUGGGAGUCUCGAGUUCGGGAGAGGUGAGUGGAACUGCGAGUGUAGAGGUGAAAUUCGUAGAUAUUCGCAAGAACACCAGUGGCGAAGGCGGCUCACUGGCCCGAUACUGACGCUGAGGUGCGAAAGCGUGGGGAGCAAACAGG
rnacentral:rRNA from 1 species